rnacentral:rRNA from 1 species
UACGAAGGGGGCUAGCGUUGCUCGGAAUUACUGGGCGUAAAGCGCACGUAGGCGGCUUUCUAAGUCGGGGGUGAAAUCCUGGAGCUCAACUCCAGAACUGCCUUCGAUACUGGAGAGCUCGAGUCCGGGAGAGGUGAGUGGAACUGCGAGUGUAGAGGUGAAAUUCGUAGAUAUUCGCAAGAACACCAGGUGGCGAAGGCGGCUCACUGGCCCGGUACUGACGCUGAGGUGCGAAAGCGUGGGGAGCAAACAGG